rnacentral:tRNA from 1 species
GAUUUGAUAGCUCAGUUGGUAAAGAAUCUGCCUGCAAUGCAGGAGACCCUGGUUCGAUUCCUGGGUCA